AUUGAACGCUGGCGGCAGGCCUAACACAUGCAAGUCGAACGGUAACAGGAAGAAGCUUGCUUCUUUGCUGACGAGUGGCGGACGGGUGAGUAAUGUCUGGGAAACUGCCUGAUGGAGGGGGAUAACUACUGGAAACGGUAGCUAAUACCGCAUAACGUCGCAAGACCAAAGAGGGGGACCUUCGGGCCUCUUGCCAUCGGAUGUGCCCAGAUGGGAUUAGCUUGUUGGUGGGGUAACGGCUCACCAAGGCGACGAUCCCUAGCUGGUCUGAGGGGAUGACCAGCCACACUGGAACUGAGACACGGUCCAGACUCCUACGGGAGGCAGCAGUGGGGAAUAUUGCACAAAGGGCGCAAGCCUGAUGCAGCCAUGCCGCGUGUAUGAAGAAGGCCUUCGGGUUGUAAAGUACUUUCAGCGGGGAGGAAGGGAGUAAAGUUAAUACCUUUGCUCAUUGACGUUACCCGCAGAAGAAGCACCGGCUAACUCCGUG
rnacentral:rRNA from 1 species